CCAGGGGUCCUCUAAAGUCCAAGGUGCUGUCUGGAUGUUAGGCUGGGGGCAGUGACCUGGUGUGAAGGUUGCAGGUGGGCCUCUAUUUAGAUGGAACCCAAGAGCGGAAGAGGGUUCUGCUGCUGAGAAAACGUUUGGUGAACUUCACUACCCACUCCUGAUUCACUGAACAUGGUCACGGAUAUUCCUUUCAUGGGAUAAAGAAAAUAGUGGCAGACUCGGCAAGGUGGAUAUGACACCAGGAGUUGUGGCAGUCAUGUUGUAACACUGAGGCAGAACACAUGAAAAAG